rnacentral:misc_RNA from 1 species
AUGCUGCCAACAUGCAUGUGGAGGUAUUAUUACAUUAAUGGUUCUCAUGCAUGUGAAAGAAAUGAUUAUCUUUAUGGUUGAAUGUGGUGAAUGGAUAUACUUGUUUCUUUGAAAAUGCUGUAGAUUGGUAGGCGGAUUUUCAGGCAAAGGCUUGAAACUGGAGAUCGUGAUGGUGAUGUAGAGCAGCGUCGGGUAUGCUUCUUGUAAUUUCAGUUCUGCAUAUCUUAACACUGAAGGUAGAGAUUUGUAUAUGUGGGAG